GUUCCUAUUGAGUAAUCGAGCGGAUGGUUAGUGGCGGAAGGAUGAGUAAUGCAUAGAUAACGUACCCCGGAUACCAGAAUAGCCGCGGUCUUCGGACCUUUAGCGAAAGUGCGGGUAAUACUGGAUAAUAUUUUUGGAUGGAAUCAUUCGUUAAUCAAAUGGGCCUUCGGGUACCGAUUUGGGAGCGGUCUAUGUCGUAUCAGCUUGUUGGUGAGGUAACGGCUCACCAAGGCUUCGACGCGUAGCGGGACUGAGAGGUUGGCCCGCCAUAUCGGGACUGAGACACUGCCCGGACCUCCACGGAGGGCUGCAGUAACGGAUAUUGCGCAAUGGGCGAAAGCCUGACGCAGCGACGCCGCGUGUAGGAUGAAUCCCUUCGGGGUGUAAACUACUGUCAGGGUGAAGAAAGGUGAGGGCUGUAAUGCCUGAUCUUGAUCGAUCCCAGAGGAAGGCCCGGCUAACUUCGUGCCAGCAGCCGCGGUAAGACGAAGGGGCCAAGCGUUGUUCGGAAUCACUGGGCUUAAAGCGCGUGUAGGCGGAAAGGUCAGUGUCUUGUGAAAUCCCUCGGCUCAACCGAGGAAUUGCAGGGCAUACUUCCUUUCUUGAGGCAAGUAGGGGUGCAUGGAACUCUGGGUGGAGCGGUGAAAUGCGUAGAUAUCCAGAGGAACGCCAGCGGUGAAAACGGUGCACUGGGCUUGUCCUGACGCUGAGAUGCGAAAGCGUGGGGAGCGAACGGGAUUAGAUACCCCGGUAGUCCACGCUGUAAACGAUGUUUACUAGGUCGCGGGAACUCUGACGUUUUCGCGGCCGUAGCAAAAGUAUUAAGUAAACCGCCUGGGG
rnacentral:rRNA from 1 species